ACUACAAACACUCGAUGAAGAUGGGUAACCAAAAACCCAAUCAACAUCAACGAAAUGGGUAUGAAAGGGAAGGAAAUAUGAUACAAAGGCCUAAAGCCCCAAAACAAAAACAUAAUAUGCUACGGUCUAAGCACAUUCAAAGGUAAACAGAUGAACAAAAUCAAAAGAGGAAAAUGCACCCUCAAAUCAACAUAGUAACGAGAAAGAACAUUACCUUUGGUAAAAAGAAGAGAAAUUCGGAACUUCGGAACCCUUAGCAGAAAAACCUCGAAUCAACAAGAUAAGGGUUUAACAGAUUUACUCAGCAGCAACAGGAAAAUGAAGGAAAUGCAAAGAGUGAAAGUUUGCAAAUGAUCCCUCCUUCUUCUAUUUAUAGGCCUCCAAAGGCUGCACCUGCAUCACGAAACGAUGCGCCUCUCCAAUCUUAUCCGUUGAUUGAAUUUCUACGGUCAAGAUCAAAAGCCAUCAAAUGGCCC
rnacentral:lncRNA from 1 species